rnacentral:rRNA from 1 species
CAGUAGCCGCGGUAAUACGUAUGAGGCAAGCGUUGUCCGGAAUUAUUGGGCGUAAAGGGCUCGCAGGAGGUUUCUUAAGUCUGAUGUGAAAGCCCCCGGCUCAACCGGGGAGGGUCAUUGGAAACUGGGAAACUUGAGUGCAGAAGAGGAGAGUGGAAUUCCACGUGUAGCGGUGAAAUGCGUAGAGAUGUGGAGGAACACCAGUGGCGAAGGCGACUCUCUGGUCUGUAACUGACGCUGAGGAGCGAAAGCGUGGGGAGCGAACAGGAUUAGAUACCCGGGUAGUCCCUGUCUCUUAUAC